rnacentral:ncRNA from 1 species
UAGCGCUGGUUCUCAUUGGCGGCAUUGGCCAGUGAGAGGACGAGGAAGAGGUUGUCGAAUUUGUCAGCGGAUGCCUCUCGGCCGGUCCCGGUCGAAAGAAAUCUGUCAAAGCCGGAGAGCGAUUUCCGGUACAAAGCAGGU